UUACGGCCAUAUUACGUUGAAACACCGGGUCUCGUAUAAUCACCGAAGUUAAGCAACAUCGUACCAAGAUGGGUGAUCGCUUGGGAAUACAGGGUGCU